AAAAGUCCAAUUAUCUCUUUAAUUAAAGACAAAGAUUUUUCUGAUUAUAAAGUCAAGGUGGAAAUCCCACACCGAGCAUUUAGAAUAGCAGAUGAGAAGCCUCAUUAUGUGUAUGUGUGUAUGUGUGUGUGUGUACAUAUGUGUGUGUGCCUUGCCCAUGCACAUGACUUACAACUGAAGCAGUACUAACAAAUGUACACACCUUGCUCAAAUGUCUCUCUCCGUGAGUCCUUUCCUGAACAUUCCAUUUAAAAUUACACAUACUCUUUAUCCUCUUCCCUCUUUUUUUUCUUCCUAGUACUUAUGUCCUUCUAAUAUUUGUAUAUAUAUUAAAAUAUAUGUGUGCACUAUAUAACUAUUUUUUAUUCUGUUUAUUGUCUCAUCCCACUAAAAUGUAAGCUCUGCAACAGAGAUUUUUUUAAAAAAUUAUACACAACAAAACAAAUCAUAAGUAAAAGCAAACCAUAAUUUUUUUAAAAGCCACAGACCAGAGAAAAUAUUUGCAAUGC
rnacentral:lncRNA from 1 species